GACGAACGCUGGCGGCGUGCUUAACACAUGCAAGUCGAACGGAAAGGCCUCUUUCGGGGGGUACUCGAGUGGCGAACGGGUGAGUAACACGUGAGUAACCUGCCCUUGACUUUGGGAUAACUUCAGGAAACUGGGGCUAAUACCGGAUAGGAGCUCCUGCUGCAUGGUGGGGGUUGGAAAGUUUCGGCGGUUGGGGAUGGACUCGCGGCUUAUCAGCUUGUUGGUGGGGUAGUGGCUUACCAAGGCUUUGACGGGUAGCCGGCCUGAGAGGGUGACCGGCCACAUUGGGACUGAGAUACGGCCCAGACUCCGACGGGAGGCAGCAGGGGGGAAUAUUGCACAAUGGGUGGAAGCCGGAUGCAGCAACGCCGUGUGCGGGAGGACGGCCUUCGGGUUGUAAACCGCUUUCGCUCAUGACGAAGCUUUGUGUGACGGUAGUGGGUAAAGAAGCACCGGCUAACUACGUG
rnacentral:rRNA from 1 species